CAGUCUUCAGGGUAUGCAGUAAAGGAUUAACUUUGCCCUGGAGAGGUUUGGCCCUUUUGCUCCCAGCUGCAGGGCUGUAAUUUCUAAGCCCUUGGAAUGUUCUGCCUGUAGGAGUGUCUUUGUUUACUGGAGGUCUUGAGCAAUACCAGAUAGUCUGUGCUUACAAUGUAACUUUUGGUGGGGGGGCCUUUGGACAUGUGGUACCACUCAAGCUCCAGAGGGGUUAGAGACUAAGGGUAGUCACAUGGGUGAACAGAAUGUCCGAAUGGCCAACUCCCAGUAAAAACUCUGGACAACAAAGCUUGGGUCCUAGACAGUGCAAUACACAAAAGAAAUAUGAGCUAUAAUUAUUGGAAUGAAGAAACUGUCAUGAUUACAGGUCUUCUUUUUGCCCUGCAAGAUUACAAGCUGCACGGGGGACAGCACUUUGUUUUGUUCAGUAAAGCAUCUGAGUGAUGCUGGAUGUAUUUGUUGAAGUGAUACAUAGACACCUGCACACAUUUGAAAGUUUAUGUGCUCCCUUCACCUGCUCCUGGUACUCCCCCUCACUUAGACUGCCUUGUAGAAAUGGACCCAGGAGAUCCUUCUUCCUACUGCACAUCUUCUCACAGUACUAGAAAAGCAAGAGGAACGAAGAGCACAAGGGCAGCCUGUGAAAGUCUCCAACCUCCUUACUUCCUCACAGCUUGCUCUCCUGGACCCUUCCACGAGGCUCCAGUGGGUGUGGAUGAGUGUUCUAUCCAGGACAAGGAUUGUGUCUAGCUGGGGAGCACUGGAGGUUCCCUUCUCUGUGAGAUGCCUGGCUAAUGAUACUUCAGCACCGCAAAAUAAAAAGCCUGUGCUCAGAUCCCAGUGAAUUUAUCUGCCUCUUCUUG
rnacentral:lncRNA from 10 species